rnacentral:rRNA from 1 species
GGGCCCGCACAAGCGGUGGAGCAUGUGGUUUAAUUCGAUGAUACGCGAGGAACCUUACCAGGGCUUAAAUGGGAAAUGACAGGGGCAGAGACGCCCCCUUCUUCGGACAUUUUUCAAGGUGCUGCAUGGUUGUCGUCAGCUCGUGCCGUGAGGUGUCAGGUUAAGUCCUAUAACGAGCGCAACCCCUACCGUUAGUUGCCAGCGAGUCAUGUCGGGGACUCUAACGGGACUGCCGGUGCAAACCGUGAGGAAGGUGGGGACGACGUCAAAUCAUCACGGCCCUUACGUCCUGGCCACACACGUGCUACAAUGGUAGGUACAGAGGGAAGCCACCUCGUGAGAGGGAG